rnacentral:rRNA from 1 species
UACAGAGGUCUCAAGCGUUAAUCGGAAUUACUGGGCUUAAAGGGUCCGCAGGCGGUCUGACAAGUACCUUGUGAAAUAUCAGGUCUCAACCCUGAAACUGCUCGGUAGACUGUCAGACUUGAGUGCAAAAGGGGUCGCUGGAACUCUAGGUGGAGCGGUGAAAUGCGUAGAUAUCUAGAGGAAUACCGGUGGCGAAGGCGGCAUCCUGGACCGAGAUUGACGCUGAACGGCGAAAGCUAGGGGAGCAAACGGG